rnacentral:rRNA from 1 species
AAUAGAUACCCCGGUAGUCCACGCCGUAAACGUUGGAUACUAGGUGUGGCGUCCCGAUCAACGGAUGCCGUGCCGAAGCUAACGCAUUAAGUAUCCCGCCUGGGGAGUACGGCCGCAAGGCUAAAACUCAAAGGAAUUGACGGGUCCCCGCACAAGCGGCGGAGCAUGCGGCUUAAUUCGAUGCAACCCGAAGAACCUUACCUGGGUUUGAAAUCAUGGGAAAGGCUGUAGAAAUACAGUGUCCGUAAGGGCCCAUGACAGGUGGUGCAUGGCUGUCGUCAGCUCGUGUCGUGAGAUGUUGGGUUAAGUCCCGCAACGAGCGCAACCCUUGUCCUAUGUUGCCAGCGGUUCGGCCGGGGACUCAUAGGAGACUGCCGGGGAUAACUCGGAGGAAGGUGAGGACGACGUCAAGUCAUCAUGCCCCUUAUAUCCAGGGCUGCACGCAUGCUACAAUGGUCGGUACAACGGGCAGCGACCCCGCGAGGGUGAGCGAAUCCCACAAAGCCGACCUCAGUUCGGAUUGGAGU